AACGAACGCUGGCGGCAUGCCUAACACAUGCAAGUCGAACGAGACCUUCGGGUCUAGUGGCGCACGGGUGCGUAACGCGUGGGAAUCUGCUCUUGGGUUCGGGAUAACAGUUGGAAACGACUGCUAAUACCGGAUGAUGUCUUCGGACCAAAGAUUUAUCGCCCAGGGAUGAGCCCGCGUCGGAUUAGCUAGUUGGUGAGGUAAAGGCUCACCAAGGCGACGAUCCGUAGCUGGUCUGAGAGGAUGAUCAGCCACACUGGGACUGAGACACGGCCCAGACUCCUACGGGAGGCAGCAGUGGUGAAUAUUGGACAAUGGGCGAAAGCCUGAUCCAGCAAUGCCGCGUGAGUGAUGAAGGCCUCAGGGUUGUAAAGCUCUUUUACCCGGGAUGAUAAUGACAGUACCGGGAGAAUAAGCCCCGGCUAACUCCGUGCCAGCAGCCGCGGUAAUACGGAGGGGCUAGCGUUGUUCGGAAUUACUGGCGUAAAGCGCG
rnacentral:rRNA from 1 species